CAGAGUUAUCUAACUCCCAAACCCAUGUGAACUUACCAUUUGUUGCCUCGGCAGAACCUACCCGGUACCUACCCUGGAGCGGCUACCCUGUAGCUACCCUGGAGCGGGCUACCCUGUAACGUACUGCCGGUGGACCUUUAAACUCUUGUUAUUUUAUAGUAAUCUGAGCGUCUUAUUUUAAUAAGUCA
rnacentral:misc_RNA from 2 species